UCUGGUUGAUCCUGCCGGACCUGACUGCUAUCGGAUUGAUACUAAGCCAUGCGAGUCAUUGUAGCAAUACAAGGCAUACGGCUCAGUAACGCGUAGUCAACCUAACCUAUGGACGGGAAUAACCUCGGGAAACUGAGAAUAAUGCCCGAUAGAACAUUAUGCCUGGAAUGGUUUAUGUUCCAAAUGAUUUAUCGCCGUAGGAUGGGACUGCGGCCUAUCAGUUUGUUGGUGAGGUAAUGGCCCACCAAGACUAUUACAGGUACGGGCUCUGAGAGGAGUAGCCCGGAGAUGGGUACUGAGACACGGACCCAGGCCCUAUGGGGCGCAGCAGGCGAGAAAACUUUGCAAUGUGCGAAAGCACGACAAGGUUAAUCCGAGUGGUUUCUGCUAAAGAAACCUUUUGUCAGUCCUAGAAACACUGAUGAAUAAGGGGUGGGCAAGUUCUGGUGUCAGCCGCCGCGGUAAAACCAGCACCUCAAGUGGUCAGGAUGAUUAUUGGGCCUAAAGCAUCCGUAGCCGGCUCUGUAAGUUUUCGGUUAAAUCUGUACGCUCAACGUACAGGCUGCCGGGAAUACUGCAGAGCUAGGGAGUGGGAGAAGUAGACGGUACUCGGUAGGAAGUGGUAAAAUGCUUUGAUCUAUCGAUGACCACCUGUGGCGAAGGCGGUCUACUAGAACACGUCCGACGGUGAGGGAUGAAAGCUGGGGGAGCAAACCGGAUUAGAUACCCGGGUAGUCCCAGCUGUAAACUAUGCAAACUCAGUGAUGCAUUGGCUUGUGGCCAAUGCAGUGCUGCAGGGAAGCCGUUAAGUUUGCCGCCUGGGAAGUACGUACGCAAGUAUGAAACUUAAAGGAAUUGGCGGGGGAGCACCACAAGGGGUGAAGCCUGCGGUUCAAUUGGACUCAACGCCGGGA
rnacentral:rRNA from 1 species